GCCCCCAUAGCUUAGUGGUGGAGCGUGCGGCUGUUAACCGCAAGGUCAUCGGUUCAAAUCCGAUUGGGGGCG
rnacentral:tRNA from 1 species